ACCGAGUCAGCGUUUGGCUAGGCGCGCGAGUGGCUCGUCUCCUCCCUCGAUUCAGUAUUGCCCUUCCCAAACCUAGCUCCCCUGAUUCAGCUUCCCCUGGAAUAAGGUCCGUUUCCGGCGGCCAGGUCGGCCCUCUCCUUCCACCCUCGCCUCACCCCUCGGUCCCCUCCCCUUCGGCCGCCCUCUCCCUCCCCUGCUGGCCCGCCCAUGCCCAGAAGCCCUCCAACCCUCUGGCGCUCUGCGGUGGCCUCUGCGGCGGCGCGGCUCCGCUAGGUGCCGGUCCGCCUCCGGCCUCCUGGCUCCCCGGCCCAAGUAGACGCCCAGCCCCUCCUGGCUCAUCUCCACGGCUACGCCCUGGACAUUCUGCAUCCAUCUACUGAUCUACAUCUAGUUUAGCAUCCAACAAGUGAUGUAGAUGAAAAAGAAGGAUAUUAGCUUAUUCGAGUUGUGGGACAAAUCUUCAAUGUCAAGAAAGUUAACUUCUACGUCCACGCCAGUUACAUUCGUUGAGAGAGAAUUUUACAAUCAAGUGAAGGAAGAAGAUGUCAUCAAUCUCUUUUAGAAAGGCGACCGCAAAGUUAUAUUUUAAGAAGGAUAUCAUCGCUUUAUCAAUCAAAAGAUACUUAUGUAUUCAUGUUGUUAUGGUGUGAUACAUUGAAAUAUUGGUACUACCAUUAUGCUAGUGUUGUUUUGUUCAUA